rnacentral:rRNA from 1 species
UGGGGAAUAUUGGACAAUGGGCGCAAGCCUGAUCCAGCCAUGCCGCGUGAGUGAUGAAGGCCCUAGGGUUGUAAAGCUCUUUCACCGGUGAAGAUAAUGACGGUAACCGGAGAAGAAGCCCCGGCUAACUUCGU